AUGACACUCCAUUCUUUCCUCUCAAGGGUGACCACAGAAGUAAACGAGCCCAGGGCUACACUGGAUCCAUGCCUGUCACCUCCACCAGCAGCCCAGUACCCUUCAAGGUACAGAGUGAAAAGAGACUAUUCUCAGAAAGAGAGACUUAGAAGAUCUAAUGAAGGUCCAGUGGGGAAUACAUUUGGGAAGGCGCUCCAAACUUGGCUCUGGAGGCUCCUCUGGCAGGGGGAGGCCACCUCUCAGCUGCCCACACCUUCUGGAGUCCAAAUCUCAGGCCAGAGAUGGGCUGGCCUCCCAAGCUUGGGCUGUGGAAUCACCACCUGGGUGCCGGCUGGGUUCCAGGCCAGCCAAGCUGAGACAGGACAGGUCCUUGUAGCCCAGGCUGGUGCAUGGCUGAGUAGCUGGGUUAUUAGUUACACCAAAGACUUUCAGCUGGCCAGGCAGAAGGGCUCCAUACGCCGAAACCAACGCAGGAGGAAGAAGGUUCAUUGUUUUCCAGAUUAG
rnacentral:lncRNA from 1 species